ACCAUCGAAGAAUGUUGAAGCUCCCUUUUACUACGUCAGCCCGUACGUCACAAUUUCGCGGGGAAGUCAAAAAAGCAAUCAGAUAGAGAAAGAAGCAAGAAAUGCGAAGUAUUCGCUUGAAUCUCGCAAAUCGUUCGACCUGUCAAUUGAAGAUCGUCAAACGAGGGAGGCAGUUGUAUAUUUCCGUUCACAAGUCGGUUAGGAAUCCUUUCAGUUGAUUAAAAAAGUGGAAAUCUGGCGAAAAUAUUCUGAAGAUUGUGAAAUACCAAGUGAAUACUUGGACUUGGUUAACGUAGCGAUAGGCCAAACGAAAUUAUUGACGACAAGCAAAUUUAAACAGUUUAAUAAUCUCAUCGACCAAUGUGAGGGCAAAGAAAGUGAAAAGGUUGUCAAAGCAGAAGACUUAGAGGGGUUUUGGUCUAUGGUCUACUUGCAAGUAGAAAAUUGCAAUCAACGUUUCAAGCGACUGGAAAUCUUGAAAAAUAACAAGUGGGUUGAUCCAGAUUUGUGUGUAAUCAAAGAAAAGAAAAUACGUAAAACGAACAGCAACGUUCGAAAAAACGUGUCAAUAGUGCUGUUGGUGUUAUGCUGAAAGAAGUACGCAAAAAUUUGAGAAACGAAACAAAGGAAAAUGAUGUUGGUCGACGAACUCCCAUGACUCAACAUGGAGGUACAUGGAUAGUAGAAGAUUGUUUAACUAACUACAAGAUACAGGAUGGAAAUACACCGACCCGAGGCAUUCUCAAAACCCCGGGCUCCGUGCGAAGAGUUCCAUGUCCGUCUUUGACAUGGAAGACGAGUCCACAGGUUAAGCUAUUUAUUGAAUAACAGGCCCCAACGCAAGAAAUUUCAAUCAAAAAAGGGAACGAUUCACUAUGAAUAUAAUUCCUCAAUGAUCUAGUCUUGGCCGUUUAUAUCCCCCCUUAAUAUAUAUAUUUUGAAUAUGUUGAAUGUCUUAGAAAUGAAUUUACGAAAAAAUAACUUCGUUAUGCAUAAAUGAACAAGUACCCAAUAGAAGAGUUCAAUUAUAUGUGUUGUGCAAUGUGCAACGUAAAAAUAUAUAUCAUAAGUUCGUGUGUUAAUUCUUCCUAUCUUUAAUAUGAACCGUCCCCGGUUCACUCAUACUAUCAAUUCUCUUUUUGAACGUUUUCCUAUCCUUUUUAUUUUACAUUUGUUUGUUCGUUCAUUCACUUGAAACCGUUUUCUUUAAGUAUAUACUUGAUUUUAAAUGUGAAAAUAAUUGAAAUACACAGAAAUCUUCAAUAUGAUUUUAAAUUGAAUAAUUUCAAUUUACAUUAUGAAAAAUUAUUCAUUUGAAAAUGUUGAACAUUUUAAGUUUUUCUCAAAUUCUUAAAAA